UGGGCUGUCAACAAGCGUGGGCCUGGCUGCGCGCGGCGGGGCGCGGAGAACGCGAGGCGACCGGGAGCGGCUGGGCUCCCGGCUGCGCGCCCCUCGGCCAGGCCGGGAGUCGCGCCAGUCGGAGUCUCUGGCCCAGCACGGCCCACCUCCCUCUCAGUGUCCAUCAGUCCGGGGUGCAGCCGGCGGGCAUGACCGACCCACCAGGGGCGCCGCCGCCGGCGCUCGCAGGCCGCGGAUGAAGAAGAAAACCCGGCGCCGCUCGGCCCGGAGCGAGGAGCUGACCCUCAGUGAAGAGGCGACCGGUAGUGAGGCGAACCAGAGUGAGGAGGCGACCCUGAGCGAAGAGAUGAGUCGGAGCCAGGAGGUC
rnacentral:other from 1 species